UAAUAGUAGAUAAUUAUUUUUAUUGAACUAAAAAAAUGUUUCCUAGAAAUUAUAUACCUACAGUCCAAAACGACGUUUUCCGGGUCAGCUAGUAAUAAUAUUUAAACAAAUAUGUAAAAGUUAAUCCUAGGAUUAUCGAGUCACAACAGCUAUUAUAUAUAUGUAGCUAAUUACGAGGCAGGAGAUAAAUGCUCAAAAAGAAGAUUUAAAAAAAAAAUUAAAGACAGCUCGUCUGAUACCAAGAGGUAAGGAGUUCCAAAGCAGAAGACUGCACAGUAAAGGAAGAGUGAUAGAAUAAAUGUAAUAUUAAGUAGAUUAAUAAAAUAAAACUGUUAUUAUUUUUUAUUGUAUUAUUAUUUAACAUAAAAGAUAUAAAGCAGUUUUGGUGUAGUGGUAUCAGCAUGUUAUUCUCAUCCUUAGGGUCGUAGGUUCGAACCCCGGCUGUUUACCAAUGUAAUUUCUGUAUAUUUUUUUAAAAAUCGCUCGUACGGUGGUGUAUAAAAUUGUAAAGAAACCGAGUUGCCAUAUACACAAAAGUCGGCGGGGUAUGUCAGGCACAGAAGGCUCAUCUACGUGCCUAUUUGAUGAACAAAACCAAGGAUCACGAAACAUACAAAAACCUGAAAAGGUUGUAGCGCCACUUAUUUUUUUAUAAAGAAUAAAUCAGAAAAAGAACUUAUCAGCCUGUUAAUAAAGUGAAACAGUUUCGAUUGUAGUUGUACAAUAUUGAUUGAUGCAUGUAGUAAUUUAAACUCGCUAAUUGGUUAAAAAGAAACAUUGUACCAAAGAAAUAAUAAACAUACAGUUUAUUCAUAAAAACUAAAUCAAUUUAAUUUAAUCACCCUUGUUACUAAAGUACUAAUUUGUCUCUUUCUGUCAAAUUGUGGUAAAGCUGUGAUGAAAAGAGAGAUGUGUACUUUAGUCAAAACGAUGCAAUUAGAUAUUUUUUGAAUUGUCUCUUAGGACGAGUUUUAAAUAAUUUUACCAGACUGAGAUCGCGGACGAACCCUGGUCGAGCCUAUAGUGUAGAUCCAGUUAAAAUUAUCUUUUAUCUAGAAAUUCUUACUACGACUUUCGAAAAUACUUCUCACGUAAGUACUUGUCUAAAAUACUGAAUUGAAAUUAUGUAAUUUUUACUUCACUAAAAAUUACUUCAUUUUUCUACGGUCCAUUUAAAACUCAUAAUUAUUCAACAAUAAUUUCUUUUUUUGUUUACAAUUGUUUAUAUAAUUUGUUUUUAUCUGUCUUAUAUUAUUUCUGUUUUCUUAGAAAAAGAGGGGUUUCUUACGUUCGCGUAAAGAAGACGACAGAGGCGUUCAGUAACUCAGUAACUUCCUAGGCGUAGGUGCGACCAGGUCUUCAGCGUAUGUGCCGAAGUCUGCCCGAGAGAGGGAACUUGAUAGAAGAUCAGAUGAUAGCGAUCAGCUUAAAUCGUGGGGAUCGGCAGAUAAUAUACAGGUACUGUCUGCGUGUUAUUGUGUUUAAAAAUUAAAUUUUGUGUACAUGUCUAAUCAAAUGAUACAGUUAUAAUAAUUUUAGUAAAAACAAAUAUUAUGUCUAGGACAUUGUCAAUACAUAAUAUUUUCUGAAACAACGCCAUCUAUGAAUGUAGUAUAUGAUUAGUUCACGUGUCUUAAAUUUCAAAAUUAAUGGUCCAAACUGGCAUCGACAACUUAGUUUAUUCGUUUUCCGCUAGAUGUCUCUAUAUCAAAUUUCUAAACUUACGUAAUAUCCAAUAGAUGUCGCGACUGUUUCUUUUAACUUCGUUUUAACACAGUAAAACUACUUAAUAUACAAAACAGUGUUUGUUCGAACACUUAUAACUCGAGAACGGUAGGAUCGAUUUGAAUGAUUUAUAGAAUAGCAGAAUAACUAUUAAAACAUUGGUUGGUUGAAGAAUAACAUACGAUUCCAUCAUUUAAGGUUCAUUCCGUCGAUCCGGUAAACUCUUCCCUCAUCUGAACAUAUUUAAUUAAAGAUAGUGAUGAGAUAAUGACGUAUUUUAGAUGUAAAAAAUGUAGAAUAAUGUGAGUAAUGAAAGAUGAUCGAUAUACCUAUUUGGCUGACAAAUUUUGUAAUGUUGAGAAGCGCAAUUUGGUGAUAGGGAUUCGGCUUUCAACUAUUACGUCACGCAAUUUUUGGAGAUAAUUGAGCAACGCGCCGUAACGUUUUACUAUACCCAAGUGUAUAAUAAUUGUGUAAAUAUUAUUAUUCAGGCAGAAUGCAGAUGUUAAUGAUAAUUGUCAUCAGACACUAUCAGCAUGUGGCAAACACAAACAUGUCAUGUAUUGAAACGUGUAUCGUGUUAUGGUGGGUGGCCAGGUAAGCGGUUAUUAAAAUAAGACGACAUUACUGUUAUUCAUAAACAUAUAUUCAGCCAUGACAGGCGGUCCGAGACAUACUACAGGAAACGGAAACCCAUAGAUACGUAACAUCUCCCUUAUUAAGAAAAGAAAACAUGGCAUGAAGUGGAACAUAGUACGUACGUAAGUAUACACUUUUGUUUUUUUUUACAUUGACAAAAUUCUUACAUACUAUUAGACUGAAAUAAUGGUACGGAACAUUGACUUGACUGACAUUUUCAAUUUUGACAGUUCUCACAUUGACGUCUACUAAAUUGACAUAACUGUGUUUUGACAGCUACACAAAACAAAAUUAGGUUAAAGACAUUAAACAAUACAUUUACAAACUAAGUACAAAUUAUGAACUUAAUCUAGAUUCUAGACUAAUUACCAAAAUCUUCGGGGCUUUAUGAUAGCUCUGCCGAAUGAAGAAUAAGUUGUGUGGACGAGUUUUAAAUAAUUUUACCAGACUGAGAUCGCGGACGAACCCUGGUCGAGCCUAUAGUGUAGAUCCAGUUAAAAUUAUCUUUUAUCUAGAAAUUCUUACUACGACUUUCGAAAAUACUUCUCACAAAAAGAGGGGUUUCUUACGUUCGCGUAAAGAAGACGACAGAGGCGUUCAGUAACUCAGUAACUUCCUAGGCGUAGGUGCGACCAGGUCUUCAGCGUAUGUGCCGAAGUCUGCCCGAGAGAGGGAACUUGAUAGAAGAUCAGAUGAUAGCGAUCAGCUUAAAUCGUGGGGAUCGGCAGAUAAUAUACAGGUACUGUCUGCGUGUUAUUGUGUUUAAAAAUUAAAUUUUGUGUACAUGUCUAAUCAAAUGAUACAGUUAUAAUAAUUUUAGUAAAAACAAAUAUUAUGUCUAGGACAUUGUCAAUACAUAAUAUUUUCUGAAACAACGCCAUCUAUGAAUGUAGUAUAUGAUUAGUUCACGUGUCUUAAAUUUCAAAAUUAAUGGUCCAAACUGGCAUCGACAACUUAGUUUAUUCGUUUUCCGCUAGAUGUCUCUAUAUCAAAUUUCUAAACUUACGUAAUAUCCAAUAGAUGUCGCGACUGUUUCUUUUAACUUCGUUUUAACACAGUAAAACUACUUAAUAUACAAAACAGUGUUUGUUCGAACACUUAUAACUCGAGAACGGUAGGAUCGAUUUGAAUGAUUUAUAGAAUAGCAGAAUAACUAUUAAAACAUUGGUUGGUUGAAGAAUAACAUACGAUUCCAUCAUUUAAGGUUCAUUCCGUCGAUCCGGUAAACUCUUCCCUCAUCUGAACAUAUUUCAUUAAAGAUAGUGAUGAGAUAAUGACGUAUUUUAGAUGUAAAAAAUGUAGAAUAAUGUGAGUAAUGAAAGAUGAUCGAUAUACCUAUUUGGCUGACAAAUUUUGUAAUGUUGAGAAGCGCAAUUUGGUGAUAGGGAUUCGGCUUUCAACUAUUACGUCACGCAAUUUUUGGAGAUAAUUGAGCAACGCGCCGUAACGUUUUACUAUACCCAAGUGUAUAAUAAUUGUGUAAAUAUUAUUAUUCAGGCAGAAUGCAGAUGUUAAUGAUAAUUGUCAUCAGACACUAUCAGCAUGUGGCAAACACAAACAUGUCAUGUAUUGAAACGUGUAUCGUGUUAUGGUGGGUGGCCAGGUAAGCGGUUAUUAAAAUAAGACGACAUUACUGUUAUUCAUAAACAUAUAUUCAGCCAUGACAGGCGGUCCGAGACAUACUACAGGAAACGGAAACCCAUAGAUACGUAACAUCUCCCUUAUUAAGAAAAGAAAACAUGGCAUGAAGUGGAACAUAGUACGUACGUAAGUAUACACUUUUGUUUUUUUUUACAUUGACAAAAUUCUUACAUACUAUUAGACUGAAAUAAUGGUACGGAACAUUGACUUGACUGACAUUUUCAAUUUUGACAGUUCUCACAUUGACGUCUACUAAAUUGACAUAACUGUGUUUUGACAGCUACACAAAACAAAAUUAGGUUAAAGACAUUAAACAAUACAUUUACAAACUAAGUACAAAUUAUGAACUUAAUCUAGAUUCUAGACUAAUUACCAAAAUCUUCGGGGCUUUAUGAUAGCUCUGCCGAAUGAAGAAUAAGUUGUGUGAAAAAGAGGGGUUUCUUACGUUCGCGUAAAGAAGACGACAGAGGCGUUCAGUAACUCAGUAACUUCCUAGGCGUAGGUGCGACCAGGUCUUCAGCGUAUGUGCCGAAGUCUGCCCGAGAGAGGGAACUUGAUAGAAGAUCAGAUGAUAGCGAUCAGCUUAAAUCGUGGGGAUCGGCAGAUAAUAUACAGGUACUGUCUGCGUGUUAUUGUGUUUAAAAAUUAAAUUUUGUGUACAUGUCUAAUCAAAUGAUACAGUUAUAAUAAUUUUAGUAAAAACAAAUAUUAUGUCUAGGACAUUGUCAAUACAUAAUAUUUUCUGAAACAACGCCAUCUAUGAAUGUAGUAUAUGAUUAGUUCACGUGUCUUAAAUUUCAAAAUUAAUGGUCCAAACUGGCAUCGACAACUUAGUUUAUUCGUUUUCCGCUAGAUGUCUCUAUAUCAAAUUUCUAAACUUACGUAAUAUCCAAUAGAUGUCACGACUGUUUCUUUUAACUUCGUUUUAACACAGUAAAACUACUUAAUAUACAAAACAGUGUUUGUUCGAACACUUAUAACUCGAGAACGGUAGGAUCGAUUUGAAUGAUUUAUAGAAUAGCAGAAUAACUAUUAAAACAUUGGUUGGUUGAAGAAUAACAUACGAUUCCAUCAUUUAAGGUUCAUUCCGUCGAUCCGGUAAACUCUUCCCUCAUCUGAACAUAUUUAAUUAAAGAUAGUGAUGAGAUAAUGACGUAUUUUAGAUGUAAAAAAUGUAGAAUAAUGUGAGUAAUGAAAGAUGAUCGAUAUACCUAUUUGGCUGACAAAUUUUGUAAUGUUGAGAAGCGCAAUUUGGUGAUAGGGAUUCGGCUUUCAACUAUUACGUCACGCAAUUUUUGGAGAUAAUUGAGCAACGCGCCGUAACGUUUUACUAUACCCAAGUGUAUAAUAAUUGUGUAAAUAUUAUUAUUCAGGCAGAAUGCAGAUGUUAAUGAUAAUUGUCAUCAGACACUAUCAGCAUGUGGCAAACACAAACAUGUCAUGUAUUGAAACGUGUAUCGUGUUAUGGUGGGUGGCCAGGUAAGCGGUUAUUAAAAUAAGACGACAUUACUGUUAUUCAUAAACAUAUAUUCAGCCAUGACAGGCGGUCCGAGACAUACUACAGGGCAGCAGCCAACUAGUUUUAGCUGGAGAGCUAGUGAACCCUGGGAGUAACGGUCUCCCUGUAAGGUUAGAAAUUUGUAUACUUACGAUUUAUGACCUGCUAAGAGCAAUAGCCAUGACCUGGCAGGCGUCAGCCCUGCACGUCAUCAGCCCCUUUAUUUUUUGGACUGUUAAGUAAAUUGAGUUUCAAAACUUGUUUCUGUAAAUUUGAAAAUUUAAUAGGAUAUAGUUUAUUUAUUGUACAUCUUAAAAAAAAAUUGACAGGCGAUUACAAUAAGCAGAAGUAUAUGACAGAUCAAUUAGAAAACGUAAAGUUGAUGAGGUAAAAUAAACUUUAUCCUGUAUACUUAAAAUUUUUAUAUGUUUUCAAGUAAACGUCUCAGAGUAAAUAUGUACAAUGCCAGGCGGUUUUGAACAGCAUAAGACCUUGACAGGCGUCAGGCGUUAAGGGCGUGCGAGUGAGAGGUGUUGCGUGAAUGCCUAUAGUGCGAGUGAGACCGUUUAUCUAAUACGAAGGGACGUAUACCUGCUCUCGAGCAACAAUGUACAGAGAAGAAUUUCGUCAGUUGUGCCAAUGAUUUUUACUUGUGAAGAUGCUUUGAGCUAUAACAUUCUUAUGUUGAGUGAUUUCGAAUUUUUAAAAAAUCAAACUAAAGUUUUUUUUUUUUUAAAUUAAAUAUUAUUAUCAAUUGUACAGUGAUAUUGUGUAUUGUUGUACUUAAUAUUAACAUUUCAGUAAAUAGUGAACAAGAUGGAAUUGGAACACGUGGUUUGUGUGAUUUGUAACGAAGACACUGACGAAAAAACUGUACGAUUUACAGAGACUACGUUGAAUAAAAGUAAAUCAAAGUAGUGAGCUAUGAUUCAUCGAAUUUACCACCCUGCAAACGUGAACUACAUCAACAAUUAUUGAGAACUGCCUACAUUACAAAUAUAUGGCGAAAUUGUAAUUUAAAAGAACCAACAAUUCUUACACCUGAAAAUAACGGUUGGAACUUAAUUGAUAGUCGUUACGAAUUUAAUUGGUUUGAGGGGAAUACGGUUCCAUCUUCUAUAUACGACAUACUUUUACAAGGACCUGCUGAUACUGCCACAGCACAAUCGACUGAAACUGAGGAAUGCAUUUCAGAUGAGGAGAACAUUGUUAAAGAAUCAGAUGAUGAUGAAAACAGUGAUAGCGAAAUUUCGGAUGAUGCUGAAGAAAAUGAAUGUUAAAAAUAAUGUAGAUUGCAUAAAACCCAAUAAAAUACAUUGCAUUUACUGUAUGCGUUCAUGUAACAUUUCUUAUUUGCACGCCCUUAGCAGCUGUCCCCUCGCCUGUCAAGGUCUUAUGCUGUUCAAAACCGCCUGGCAUUGUACAUAUUUACUCUGAGACGUUUACAUGAAAACAUAUAAAAAUUUUAAGUAUCCAGGAUAAAGUUUAUUUUACCUCAUCAACUUUACGUUUUCUAAUUGAUCUGUCAUAUACUUCUGCUUAUUGUAAUCGCCUGUCAAUUUUUUUUAAAGAUGUACAAUAAAUAAACUUUAUCCUAUUAAAUUUUCAAAUUUACAGAAACAAGUUUUGAAACUCAAUUUACUUAACAGUCCAAAAAAUAAAGGGGCUGAUGACGUGCAGGGCUGACGCCUGCCAGGUCAUGGCUAUUGCUCUUAGCAUGUCAUAAAUCGUAAGUAUACAAAUUUCUAACCUUACAGGGAGACCGUUACUCCCAGGGUUCACUACCUCUUGGACCAUUUAAUUAAUCGUUCAAUCUGUUGAUUUAGUUAAGAAGCCUAUAGUUAAACGGCGCUGUUUAGUUAAGAGGCUAUGCUGUUAAUAGAUCGGCUUAUUAAGCUACUUGGCUGCGACAUAUACGUAAGAUUUAAGUAUAUUUUUUUGAAGUCUUUUUCAUUCUUUGCGUUCCUUUGAAUAGCAAACAAUGAGGAAAAAUGGGUUUUCAGGAAUGAAACUCAAUGCCCUGAGGUUAUAUUUACGUAUUAAAUUUCAGGUUUUCCGCGUUCGUCAGACCUACAGUGCCAUAGGCGAUCGCAUACGGGAGAAAAACCUUGUAUUUGCGGCGUUUGUGGGAAAGGUGAUUUCAACAUUUUAAAAACAAUUUCAUCAGGCUUCAGCCGUAGCAACAAGCUCUCUCGACAUAUGCGCGUCCAUACGGGCGUUAAGCCAUACAAAUGUGUGUAUUGUGAAAAGGCGUUUUCUCAAAGCAACGAUCUCAAUCUACAUGUCCGACGACACACCGGCGACAAACCCUACGUCUGUGAGCUGUGCGGCGAGCGGUUUAUACAGGGGACAGCACUGCAUAACCACCGUCGAGCCCACGGACACUAUAGUGAAACAGUCCCACCACCAGCCCCGCCCCUUUACUCCGUCGUGCCCAUUCUCCAUACAUCAUCAACUCUGUGAAGAACGGCCAGUAAAACGACAUAAUCAGUAUUACGUGUUACAAUAUUAAUUUAAACUUUACGUAAUAAGAUACUAUAAUAAUUUUAUUCAUUUUAGCAUAGGCAUUGGAUUUUAUUCUUAGUGCAACAGUGCCCAUCCUUUUUUUUAUGUAAUAGGAGGCAAACGUAUAGAAGGCUCAUCUGAUGUUAAGUGAUACCGCCGCCCAUGGACAGUUACAUUGCCAGAAUUCUCGCAAGUACCUUCAAGAAUCGGUACGCUCUUUUCUUGAAGGACCCUAAGUCAAAUUGGUUCGGAAAUACAUCAGCGGGCAGCUGGUUUCACAUAGUGGUGGUGCGCGAUAGAAACUGCGGAUCGUCGAGGUGAUACGGAUGGUAUUUUGUAUUCUGCCUUGACGUCCGAUGAUGAAACUCAGCUGCAGGUAUUAGAUCAUGCGGUAGAAGAUGCAGAAAGACUACAAAUCUUCACGCACCGCCAAGGGAUUAAGCCGCCCGGAAAGUGACUGGUCGUCGACGAUUGAAAUCGCUAUUGCCCUUGCCUUCAGUCAGGCCGCUUAAGCCCCUUAAGGAGCCUUUUGACGUGACAACGUCUUAUAAUUCGCUGGAGCCGGCUGCACGCACGAAAAAACAUGACUCAUGCGGCGUUACCUCCCUCUGAGGCGUUCCAUUUAAGGCUUGAAGUGCAAGCGAGAGCGCGGAACGAGUGACAAAGAGGCACAAAAAAUGCAACCAUUCCAUCAGUAUUUUCUUAUGACGUUGUCACGUUCACAACUAUUGUCUGUAAACCGACUUUGUAAACUUUGGUCUGUAGACCACCGAUUUUUUUUGUUGCUUAAUAAGAAGUGACGUUUUACCGCCACUAUAUAGUCGUCAGAGACUCAGCAGCAGUAGCAGCAGCUGACUUGUCGUCAGUAUUACAAUUUGAAAUAUAUAAAUAAAAAUUAAUAUAAAAAAAUCGGUUGUUGACCAUCCGUAACCGACUUUACAGAUUUUUUCAGAAUUUGACGUGAAAAUGUCAUAAAAAAAUAUAGAUGAAAAUUGCUACUUUAUAUAUUUUUUUUUUCGAUAAAUUAACAUAUAUUUAUUACACUCGUUUAUUCAAAUGCGUCAUAAGCUAAAACCAAAACGCCAAACGCUUAGGCUGAUCGUGCCUCUCUAUCGCUUGUUCCGCGCUCUCGCUUGCGCAACCGUUCAGGUGGAACGUGACAUUGAGUCAUGUUUUUCCGUGCGUGCAGACGGCGUUCAUGGUUUUAUAAGACCCUAUUACGUCAAGGAAUAUGUUAGUUGAAUUACAAUAGUAUAUUUCAUUACGAGUGCGGAAAGCUUGUCAUUGCAAAGAGUUCAAAUCGGAACAAGUUGCAAUGAUGGUUCCGCACGUGUACUGAACGACUAUUUUUAAUACAGUUGCGAAAAAAUUAAGCAAUUUAAUAAAAUAUUAAAACAAAAUAACCUCAACUAACUAAUCAGUUAUUUCUUAUAAAAGGUAUAAUUCACAUAUUCAUCGAAAUUACAGUUUUUUUACUAACUGGGGAAGUUUUAGGUUGCAUAUUUACUGUUUGAGACAAACUAUUAUUAAUUUUGUAUGAUUGUUCAUGUGUAUUUAUCUCCUCUCAACCUCUAUGAAUUUUUUUUGUAAAAACUUCGUGGUUGUUUUUUUUCUUUUUAAUAGACAUUAUUUUGACAGUUGGGAAAGAGAACGCACGAGUGCGGAAAAGGUAAAGAAAAAGCACGAGUGUGUAAUAGCUCACAUCCCGAACGCUAUACGUCCCUGCAAUACGACACUUUUUGAGCAACUGUAUUAAAAAUUACAAAGCAUUUUCGAUGAUUAGUAUCUUUACGGGUCCCGCCUGUUUGGGAGAAAGUUCUAUAGGCAUUAGUUAUUAAUUGUAUACUUUAGCAGAUAGAUUUACGCUGAUGUUCCGGAUGGACGUAAGUCAUAAGCUGAUUGCUCUUGCUCGCCUUGUAAUUUAUAACUACAACUAAAGUUCGACGAAUAAACGGAUGAUUUAUGACUCCACAUUUCAGUUAGCGGGUAAGAUUGCGGUUUAAUCUCGUUUGCAGAGCCUUCUUGCGUAGAAAAGUGUCCUCACCGUACGCAGUAUCGCUGGAAGCUUUUAUUGUUUCUAUUGGUACAGCUUCGUAUGCUAUAAGCUUACUUAUUUUUAAGCUGUUAAAUAGGUGCUCUGAGAAUGUUUGAACAGAGACUGACAAUUUUUUCCAGUUUUCGAUAAAGCAUCUACUUGUGUCACUUGUUUGACCUAACCUAUUCAACUGAAUCAUGUGCUUUUAUUUGUUAAGUAAAAUUCGUGUUCAUUUUGUGUUUUGUGUGUAUAUUUUAGGUGUACGAAAUGUUUAUUGUUUAAAUUCAAUUUUAUAUUGAAUAGUUAUUACUAAGUAAAUGUAUUCAAAUGUAUAUAGUAUGUUUUAAGAUUCUUUCUCCAAAUAAUCACCUAUGUGAAUAUACACUUGUAUGAAUAAAUAUCUUCAGAAUUA